rnacentral:lncRNA from 1 species
CCCUAUUCAGAGUGUCAUUUCCUCUCACCCAGGUGGCCCCUGUUCAUCUCCCAGGUGUGCCAGGUUGCCCUUGGCCCCCAGCCAGACAGUUGUUGGUAUUCACAGCCCCAGCAGCAACAGAGCUGUGGCGAAUUCUGAUCAGGGACCCCGCUUCUCACAACCACAGAAGCAAACCUUGCCUGGGCCCUGGAAUCUUGCCAACUUGGGCAAAUGUUUACGAAUCCUUCUCCAUGGAGCAGGAAUCCAGGCAAGGAAUCUGGCAAACAAAACAAACCAGUGAGCAUGAGGGAUGGGAGCAGACAGGGCAGCUGCCUUUGCUGCUUUUUCUUUCCUGAGACCUGCCCAUUUCCCCAAAAGUCUUCUGGGACCCUUAUCUGAGUUUUCUGCGCUCCCACUGCCUACUGCCCUUGGACCCAGCAUUUAGGGUGAGAUUUCUCUUGCACUAGUCUUCCUCAUCAUUACCGCCACCCUCAAGGACCCCCAUAGCAGAGUUCCGGACCACUGUCCCCAGGUCCAAGGUAGUAACCUUGCUAGGAAGGCAGUUGCAAGAUAGUUGGACUGCACGGAUCAAGUCUUUGCCUGAUGUCUUUGGUUUGAAGAGGCUAACCACAACCCUAAGACUGGACUGAUCUUGAGCCAGCAUUGUCCUUCCUUGCAUGACUAAGCCAUCUAUCAGAAUGUUUAUCACCAUUCUUUAUGGAGAUCAUGAAAAGAUCCUGUUUAAUUCUCACUGCAAAGUAGAGGUGCUGCUGAGCCAUAUCAAGCAGCGUUGUGGCUGUGAACCUGACGGAAUGGUUGAACUGGCAGACCACAGUGGUCAUUUGAAAAACCUUCUCCAAUACCCCCAACUCUAUGCUUCUGAGCUGCUGAAAUCUCGAGAAACUUAUAUUCCUAUCGCCAUAACACGAAAUGAAGGUUCACCAGAGCCAAUAUUUGUGCCACUAUUAAAGGAUCAUGAAAUUAUUGAUUCUAAGUUUUUAGGUUUGCUGAGUGCUUCAAAGAUGUAAUUUCAUGUAAACCUCACAACAGCCCUGGAAGAUAAGUGCUGAUCCCAUGUCUGAGGCUUGGCCUCAGGAAGAAGUAAAAAGAGAAAUCGAUGACAUAAGAAACAGAUUUGAAGCCUUACAUCUCUAUGUACUUUUUCUUGAACUUUUUCUUCAAGAAAAGAACCAGUAGGCAUGAAAUAUGGAAAGCAUAAAAAUGAUAUCAUAAAAGUAAAAAAUACUUAUAUCUAGAAGACAGGAAAAGAUUCAUUAUUUAUAUGGGUGUUAUCCUUGAAUCCACUGUGUAAAUUCAAACCACUAAUUUGUCAGAGCAAAGAUUAGUAUUGGGUUUUUUUGUUAAAAGAAAAAAUAGCAAUGAGAAACAAUUAUGCCAUACAUUUUAAACAACAGACUUAAGCUAUUUUUAAAAAGUAGUUGACAAUGGAAAAAAUGGGAAAUGUUUAUACUAAUUUUAUAUAGAAGUUUUAUCAUUAUAAAUUAAUGAGGAGAUUAAAAAGACAGCAACUAUUACAACCAAAGGCAACCCUGCUUUAGCAUAUAAAUUCAUUUGUAAAAUCUUGCCCAAAAAAAUGAUGGAUAUAAGAUGUAACACUUCAAAAAGCAAAGAAAGUCAGUGGAUGGUAAGAACCAGUUUAAAGAAACCUUGAGAAAAGACCCAACUAAACAAAGUCAUCCCAAGUACAUUUAAAGAGGAAAUAGGACAACAAAGAGACAGAAAAGUGGGAAAGAUCUGCAAAGAUUUUUUUAAUGUUUUCACCAUCAAUAAUAACACUAGAGCUUCUACACUUAAACUUCAAAAUCAUACUCUUUGAUGUGCUUUUAAGUGAGAUCAAAAUGGCACUAAUAGAAACAAAGAUGUGAAAAGAAGUCAAGUUAUUUGUUUAAAAGGCAUAAAUUGGGGGCAUCUGGGUACCUCAGUGGAUUGAGUCAGGCUUAGAGAUGGGAGGUCCUGGGUUCAAAUCUGACCUCAGACACUUCCCAGCUAUGUGACCCUGGGCAAGUCACUUGACCCCCAUUACCUAGCCCUUACCACUCUUCUGCCUUGGAACCAAUACACAGUAUUGACUCCAAGAUGGAAGGUAAGGGUUUUAAAAAAUAAAAGGGAUAAAUCUCUGAGAGGGACA